UACAGAGGAGCCAAGCGUUGUCCGGAUUGACUGGGCGUAAAGCGCACGCAGGCGGCGGCGCGCGUGGGGUGUGAAAUCUGGCCGCUUAACGGCCAGGCGCCAUCCCAUACGGCGCAGCUGGAGUGAUGCAGAGGUCGAUGGAAUUGCCGGUGUAGUGGUGAAAUGCGUAGAGAUCGGCAGGAACACCCAAGGGGGAAGCCAGCUGGCUGGGGCAUUUUGCUGGACGCUCAUGUGCGACAGC
rnacentral:rRNA from 1 species